rnacentral:pre_miRNA from 1 species
AGCACGAAUGCUGGAUCCUGUGGUGAGAAUAUGUUUAAUUUUGUAAGAAACCACCACAUUGUCUUCCAAAGUGGCUCUGCCAUUUCGCAUGCCCACCAGCAUU